AGAGUUUGAUCCUGGCUCAGAACGAACGCUGGCGGCGUGGAUAAGACAUGCAAGUCGAACGCUGAUUUCGCUGUAGCAAUACAGGGGAGUUGGAGUGGCGCAAGGGUGCGUAACACGUGGGUAAUUUGCCAUGAAGUUGGGGAUAACUUGCUGAAAGGCGAGCUAAUACCGAAUGUGGUUCAGAGGAGGCAUCUUUUCUGGACUGAAGCUGGGGAUCGUUAAGACCUGGCGCUUUAUGAUAAGCCCGCGGCCUAUCAGCUAGUUGGUUGAGGUAACGGCUCACCAAGGCUAAGACGGGUAGCUGGUCUGAGAGGACGACCAGACCACACUGGAACUGAGACACGGUCCAGACACCUACAGGUGGCAGCAGUCGAGAAUUCUUUCCUCAAUGGGCGAAAGCCUGAACGAGCGACGCCACGUGGGGGAUGAAGGGUCUCGAUCCGUGUACCCCUAUCAUUUGUGAACAAUGGUGAUGCGUGACUAACUGAUGGAUCGAUAGUAGCGAANGACGAAGGGACAGCUAACUCUCUGCCAGCAGCCGCAGUAGUACCGAGGCUCCCUAGUCGUANGUCCCGGGUUCACAUGGGACCGUACAAAGGGGUGCCGUUACCGGUGAGUGGGGGGUUCAGUUCCUGCAAUGAUUGCAAAACUCUUCCCGGGGGCCUUAAGACCCCCGGCAAAAUUAGGGCAUUNGUAAAAUACCCUACUUACCCGCCAUUUGAACGAUAUUGGGAACGGGCGGGUACUUGGGGACCUUCCCCGGGGGCUACCACCCUGACAAUGCCUUGGAAUUUCGUACAGGGAGCACCCAAUUGUUC
rnacentral:rRNA from 1 species